ensembl:lncRNA
GGCAGACAUUCUGAAGAUGGUCAGAAAGGUUACUUGUGUACAGCAGUGAGAAUGAACUUAUAAUAUUAUACUCUUUUAUCAUGUUCUUCGUUCUCCAGAUCAGAUGAUAAUGAGUGAAGCAGCCCACUGGACUGGAAACAUCUUCCUGUUAAACUUCAGGCAUGUCAAGACAAGCUCAUAUCUACACCUCAGUGGACACUGCAGACCAUCCUAGAUCAACACUUCCAGAAGACUCUCCCCUGACCUUCAGCAGAGCAGAUCACUUCUCUCACUGUCUGUUUACAGAUGUUUACUGACAGACAAGUAAUAUCUUCAAAUUUCAGUUUCUUUUUGUCCUCUGUCAACGUGUGAGUUUUUCAACACUUGCCUGAUUAUAUGCUGUUUUAAGCAUGCAUCGCUCAGACUGGAUGAUGUGGCCGAAGGAGGCUCAGAGGAGAGAGGAGAAGAGGGCUGAGGCGCGGCUGGCUGAGGGCUUGCAGAGACUUGAUGAGGCCAAACAUUACCAUCUCAACACACUGAGCCGAGAGCAGCGCACUCUACACCGUCACCUCCUGGCCAUCAAGACAGGGAACCGGUGGAGAGGAUUACAUGCUAUGGGAUCACGACACACCAAUCGUGACCUCAGCCACCCUGCUGUGUCCUUUCAGAAGACCCUGUUACCCAUAAUCCCUCCUACAGGCAGGGAUCUGGACAGAUACAGGCCAGCGAAGCCUCAGUCCAGCUGCUCUCUCCAGGCUCGUGUUCAGGAGUUUAUCAGCAGUGGGGAGAACAGGGCCGAUAACACCACAGCUCCACUCUGUCUACCUGAACUCAAACUCCAGCCCCCCCACACUCUGUCCCCAGCUGCUCCUGAGAGAGAGAGCAGGGAAAGAGACACACACAGGAACAGAGUGAGGGAGGGUCAAAGUUCAAUGUGGGAAACGGCAAAAGACAGGCCAAAAGACAGUCAGAAAGUAAGGGAACAGGCAAUGGUGUUAAAGAAAGCAGACAAGGACAGUGAAAAAGCAGAAGAAAUUGAUGAAGCCACGCCCCCAUCUUCCCCCAUCUCUGAGACCCUCUGUGCUGAUGGUCGGUUGAGGACUGUUCACGUUCUGCCUAAUUUUGCUCAGGCCCUUGCUGAGGCACGCAAAGCCAGAUACAUUAGACACCGCGGCCGACCGCCACAGGAAAGAGAGCUGAGCAUUAAAGAGAUAUUCCCAAAAAACUCCAGAGACACAUUCAGCAAACACUGAUUAUAACACACAACCCAACAUUAAUCAGGCCUUUUUAAGUUUUUUUUGUUAUUUGUUUUGUAAAUACCAUAUACAGUACAUAAGAUUCUCCAUCACACUGUUUCACACAAGCAGGAUCAGAUAGAAACCCUGCAGCAUGCUCUAACGUUUACUAAAAUGUCAUAUGAGUACUAAACUUAAUUUCCAAUAACAUUUUCUCGCAUAAUGCAUUCUAGAUGUUUAAAUUGUUAACUAUCUGGUAAAACCCAGUUAAUUCCCAACAGUGUUAGAGUUUAAAUUAGCACAUAUAUUUACUUUAAGUAAAUGUUAUUGAUAGUUAGAUUCAACUUUCAGAAAUUUAAUGAAAUGCAAUCCAAAUAAACUGUUAGCAAAUGUUCUAGUAAAAGUUUUU